CACAGUUCCCAAAUCCUUGCACUAGGUGGGGCCAGCCUCCUGUUGUGUAGACUCAUCAACUAUACCAGUCCUCUGUUCCUGGUCUCUGGAGCUUCAAUUUGGGAAAGUGACCCAUUAGCUUCUGAGGACCAGGGUGAGAGAGGGCAAACUUGAAUGCCCUUCACAAUGGAGAGAUGUGUGCAGACCGGACAGACAUCAGUUCCUUUAUCAGUGCACAGGUAGCUGCAAUGCCUGCAUGUGGAGAGAUAAAACCCAGACAAAGAGGCAGACAUGAGCAGAUUAGCUCCCCCGAACAGGAGACAAGUGGGCUGAGAGGUGAAGGAAAAGGAUGAGGGCAGCCACAAACGCUCAAUGAGACAUGACAAGUCGAGUGUGGAGCCCAGAGGAGCUCAAAAAAUAUUAGCAGCCGUUACCACUGGAGCCUCUGCCUCCUAGACCUGCCUCAAUAUCUAUGGAGGGUGGGAGCAGAGUCACUUUUCCUCACUGGACCACAAUUUACUCCUCAGAAAGACAGCAGUGAUGAUGCCCUCUCAAGAUACCCUCUAACUCCAGAAUCCCUGUCUCUAUUGAUCGUGUAGGAUGAGGCAGUCCAAGUUAAAACAAACACUUUGUUCUUAGUAUCUCAUUUCAUUUUCAUAAAAGCCUUAGAGGACACACGCUUUUCUUAUCCUCAUCUUACAUAAAGGUAAACCAAGGCACAGAGGACUCAAAGGGUGAGGAGAGAUUCAAACCUGGCUGUCUAGACCCAUUGCCCACAUGGCUAACCACCCCAUAACCUGCAAGGAAAAAUGGUCAUUGUCAUUCCUUCUGCAAAAGAAGGAUGGCUGCUUGGUUCACAAAGGUUAAAGUUAUUUAGCAAGGGGAGCUCAAAGGGUUUUGACUGCAUUGCAGCCUGGGAGUCAGAGCAGGAAUGGAAAACAACCAUGAGCCAGCAUUGUGUCCGGACCCUUCCAGGGGUUCCUUGAAAGGGGCUAUUUUCCUUUUAUUCCUAUGCAGGGGUUGGCAAACUUUUUCUGUAAAAGGCCAGAGAAUAAAUAGUUUAGGCUCUGCAGGC
rnacentral:lncRNA from 1 species